rnacentral:rRNA from 1 species
UACGUAGGGAGCAAGCGUUAUCCGGAUUUAUUGGGUGUAAAGGGUGCGUAGACGGGAUCACAAGUUGGUUGUGAAACCCCUCAGCUCAACUGAGGAACUGCAACCAAAACUAUAAUUCUUGAGUGCAGGAGAGGAAAGUGGAAUUCCUAGUGUAGCGGUGAAAUGCGUAGAUAUUAGGAAGAACACCGGUGGCGAAGGCGACUUUCUGGACUGUAACUGACGUUGAGGCACGAAAGUGUGGGGAGCAAACAGG